CCGGGUUGGGAGGGGGCUGCGGCGGAUUAGCUGGAUGGCGGGGUAACGGCCCACCAUGGCGAUGAUCCGUAGCUGGUCUGAGAGGACGAUCAGCCACACGGGGACUGAGACACGGCCCCG
rnacentral:rRNA from 1 species